rnacentral:lncRNA from 1 species
CCCGGGGGAUGUUGGGGGCUGCGUGUGCCCGGGAGCUGCGUCGGCUGUGCGGGAGCUGCAGGAACUAGUAAAUUCAGCUAAUAAGCCCUGUUGAGAUCCAGCAGACUCUUCACAGGCACUUUAAUCCGCGUUUGAACUCCACAAAGUGCCUCAGCUCAUUUUGCAUCCACAGAUGCUGAGAGAGCAGUGACCUCAAGCCUUCCUUUUCUGCCCGGUAUGACUUCAACAGAAGGAUCAGAAAAGGACUAGCUCUCUGUUAGUAGCUGAGGUGCA